AUUCUGAUCUUCAGUUUUGCACACCCACUCAGAUAGUUAAGAGUGAAAGUACCAAAAUGCAAGUACAAAAGUCAGGUUCCAAAAUUGAUGCAAACUGCAUCCACCAAUUUCGGUGACUUCUGAAAAAUACUGCAGUGUCUGAUUAAAUGACAGAAAAUAACUCCCUUGUCAUUGAAUAUGAAAUGGAAGAAGGAGCAACGGCAUGUUGUCUGUUUUCAAUUGUCUCAGAGUUGCUAUGUUACCCCAAUCAAAGACCAGUGCCCUGUUGUGUGAGCAUUGGACAAUCAUGCAAUAAAAAGACAGUGCUUAUCAUUAAAAGAUUACAGUGCACCUUAAAGAUAAGAUGUAACAGGUGGUUGAAACAAAUCAAUGAGUGUGUGGGGAGGAUAAUCAUAAUUAUAGCAUGAGGGCUACUUAGUCAACAGUAGCACAAUCAUAAAAGAGCCUUUGCUAUACUGUUAUUUCAGAGAAAGCAUUUAGCUUUUAUUUGUUACAGUGUCUGUUCUGAAAUGUCUUUUUUUAAUUUUGCAGGGGAUAUACUCUGUGGCAAGGGACUAUCUGAAUAACUAUUAAUGCAAAAAGUAAUUUUUCUUAAAGUGAAAAUGCUGCCAGAAUAAUGCUAGGUUUUCAGAAAUGAUUGAAGAGAAUUCAUUUAUGGUCCCCUUUUUGUCUUGUCCUACACAAGUCUUUAUAGUGUGCUUAUGUAAAGAUAUUAACUUCCAACUGUUGUUUAGCUGCUGUGAUGCAUAGGUCCAGAAGGUUUGAAUAAUGUUCAUAAGCAUCCACAGUUUGGCAGGCUUGUUUAGCUGAAACUACAAAUCUAUUCGAAGCUCUCCUGUUAUUAAAUGUGUUAAGUAGAAUUACAAUUAGCUGCAUACAUUUAUGGGAAAUUAACCUCACAAAAACAGGUACAAAGGUUUGGUUUAAUUUUGGAACAGGUUCAUAAAAGAGUGUUUGUAUUUGUAUUAAACAAUGCAGGCUGCAAUGCUUAAUGUUAUAAGAGGUUUUAACAUAGGUGAAUAGUAAAGUUUUAAUAAGUAUCCCCCUCACUAUUUUUAGCUUAACUCACGUUCAUAAAAACUGUAUUGAUUCACAUAUUUUCAAUAGCAAAAGCAAAUUACAAAAGAAGAAAAAAAAAAAAGAAAACUCCCAUAGCAUAUAUUAUGCAUAAAAUUAAACAACUUUACCCCAAAUGAUAGUGUAAGUUAUCCAAAUCAAAUAGCAACUCAUUAUUUCUGUUUUAAUUAUAACUGAAGGGAGCUAUAAUUUAAUGCAUUCCAAUCUUUUUUGGGUUUUUUGUUUAGUGCAUAGUAUAGUUUUAACUUUACUUUUAAACUAUGAAUGUAAAAAUCUCUUUAAUUAUUGGUGCCCCACUUGAGAUCUCACAGUUCUUUCUUAAGUACCAGAGAUAUUUACAGGGAAAGUGCACUGUCUGCUAUGCUGCUGACCUAGUGUGUGAUCCUGAGUUAUGCUGGAGCCAGGAACCUGGAAGCCAUGGAAACAUAGAGUGCUGAGGCGGGCAGGCUGAAGAAGUACAAGGGUAAAUUGACAAGAUGCCAGGCAGCUUUCAAAACCUGCCAACUAGAUGGUAUACAUGGGGAAUGUAUCUUUUCUGAAAGAAUGUUGUCAAUAAAACCAGAACUUCAGAAGCAGCUGGUGCUAGUGCAGAGAGCCCUGGAUGAAGCUACUAAACAUGCUAUGGAGAGAAAAACCUUUGGAAAACUACUAGAAGUAA